rnacentral:rRNA from 2 species
GAGACCCACGCCCACAGUUGCCAGCGUACUCUCCGGAGUGACGGGUACACUGUGGGGACCGCCGCUGCUAAAGCGGAGGAAGGAAUGGGCAACGGUAGGUCAGUAUGCCCCGAAUAUCCCGGGCUACACGCGAGCUACAAUGGUUGGUACAAUGGGUAUCUACCCCGAAAGGGGAUGGAAAUCUCCUAAAGCCAAUCUUAGUCCGGAUUGAGGGCUGCAACUCGCCCUCAUGAAGCUGGAAUCCGUAGUAAUCGCGUUUCAACAGAACGCGGUGAAUAC